AGUGUAGGCGGAUUAGUAAGUGAAGCGUGAAAUCCUAAGGCUCAACCUUAGAACUGCGUUUCAAACUACUAAUCUAGAGUAUGGAAAAGGUAAGUGGAAUUCUCAGUGUAGCGGUGAAAUGCGUAGAUAUUGAGAAGAACACCAUUAGUGAAGACGGCUUACUGGUCCAAUACUGACGCUAAGGCUCGAAGGCUAGGGGAGCGAACA
rnacentral:rRNA from 1 species